rnacentral:rRNA from 1 species
AGCAGCCGCGGUAAUUCCAGCUCCAAUAGCGUAUAUUAAAGUUGUUGCAGUUAAAAAGCUCGUAGUUGAGUUUCGGGGUUAGUAGAUUGGUCAUGCCUCUGGUAUGUACUGGUCUCACUGAUUCCUCCUUCCUGAUGAUCCGUAAUGCCAUUAAUUUGGUGUUGCGGGGAAUUUGGACUGUUACUUUGAAAAAUUUAGAGUGUUUAAAGCAAGCUAACGCUUGAAUACAUUAGCAUGGAAUAAUGAAAUAGGACGUUCGAUCCUAUUUUGUUGGUUUCUAGGAUUGACGUAAUGAUUAAUAGGGAUAGUUGGGGGCAUUAGUAUUCAAUUGUCAGAGGUGAAAUUCUUGGAUUUAUUGAAGACUAACUACUGCGAAAGCAUUUGCCAAGGAUGUUUUCAUUAAUCAAGAACGAAAGUUAGGGGAUCGAAGACGAUCAGAUACCGUCGUAGUCUUAACCAUAAACUAUGCCGACUAGGGAUCGGAUGAUGUUAAUUUUUUAAUGACUCA